rnacentral:tRNA from 1 species
AUUCAUAUAGUUUAAAAAACAUUUUAUUUUCAUUAAAAAAUAAGAAUAAAAAUUCUUAUGAAUU